UACGUAGGGCGCAAGCGUUGUCCGGAAUUAUUGGGCGUAAAGAGCUCGUAGGCGGCCUGUCGCGUCUGCUGUGAAAUCCCGGGGCUCAACCCGGGCCUGCAGUGGAUACGGGCUGGCUGGAGGCAGGCAGGGGAGAACGGAAUUCCUGGUGUAGCGGUGAAAUGCGCAGAUAUCAGGAGGAACACCGGUGGCGAAGGCGGUUCUCUGGGCCUGUUCUGACGCUGAGGAGCGAAAGCGUGGGGAGCGAACAGG
rnacentral:rRNA from 1 species